rnacentral:lncRNA from 1 species
CUGCAACAGAAGAUGAUUCCUGUGACAUGCAGGGCAAUCUGAAGAAAGCAAAGUCUUAUUCAGAUACCACCAUGAUUGAUAAGCUGCACCUAUGUAAUGUAGACAUGGCUCAUGUUAACUAUGAAAAGUUUCCUCAUGUAACUAGAAUUGUAAAAGACAUUCUGAAUACUGAAGAAACUGCAAAGAGCCACAAUGCAGAUUCCCAAGACAGGAGCUCACUCUUGCAGUUUCAUCCUGGAAAGGCAGAACAAGCAGUUUCCAAGGAUGAACCAGUCAUGGUGAAUCAACUGGAAAAAUAUACAGUGUGUUCUGAAAUAAUACAGAGUGAUGGGAUUUGUACAGAUAAUUGCAAGUCCCCUGAAACUAACAAAAAAGCUAAAGGGAGUUGUGAAUUGAAUCUGGAAAUUGAUGAGAGUGAACUAGAUAUAGGCUUCAUGAAGAAUAUAUUUGACAGCGGCAAACGCCAGUUAUUGCUAUGUCCGAGUCCAGUAAAGGAAUUGGCUGCGGAUAUUAAAUAUUUGCAAGGGCUAAGCCCUGACAAAGGGGAUAAAGAUGGAACACAUGAAGAGAAAUGUGAUGUUUCUUGUGAGGAGAAUAAAAGUACCUCUGUCCAAACACCAACAUUUUCUACGUCCAGUUUUUCUGAACAUAAAAAUGAAUACCUUCAGUUUGCCUUGCAAGUUCCAUUUCCUGACUGUCCAUCAAUUUCUCUACAAUCAGUUACCAGAAAUGAAGAAGAUGGAUGUCAACCAGAAAGUAAAAAGACAAGGGAUGAACAGAGACAGUCUCCAGGGUUAGAGGAAACUGAAAGUUCAGAUGAUUGUACUGAAAGUUUGAAUGUCUGGAAAAAUAGCAAUUUGCAUGAUUCAGGUUUCAACCAUAUUAAUAGGAGUAGUUCUGGUUCAGUUCAUUUUCAAGAUGCAAAAUCCAAAGAUACUGAAAACAAAAAAAUGGAACUGAAUCCUCAGACAGAAUUAAUGCAGCAACAUUCUUUAACUUCUCUACCAUUGUUACCCGGAUUCAUCCAUGCUGACAAGGAUGUCAUGGAAGAAAAACAACUGAACAGUGACACAGAAAAAGCUGUUGAUGUUUCUAGAACUGGUGAGAUUAAGAAUGCGAUUCCCCAACCAAAUUUAGAAUGUUCUGCGAAAGAGUAUCAGCAUCUUGAACUGUUGUCAGACACACCAGACAACUUGCUGGACCCACCUACCAAAAAUAUAAAAGGUUCACCAAACCUUUGGGAUAAGAAUGACAUUUUGGCUAUCCCUGCUAAAAUAGACAAGCAAAUGAUGAAUGGAACAGAUCUGGAUAGCAAAAACAAAUGCAACCCCAUGUUGAAGAGUCAGGACUUUAUUUUGGCUUACCCGAAAUUCCUAGAGAAGCUGCCCUCCUCAGAAGAGGAUUCCAGUGAAGAUGAAAAGUUUUCUUGUUUUCAGGCACUAAUGAAUGUGCAAAGCACACAAUCACACUCAGUAAAAGAGAAGGAGAUACCACUAAAGGUGUUAACAUCCAACAGCAGCAGCA